rnacentral:lncRNA from 1 species
CCUUUUCGACUGCAGCUUUGAUGUUAUUAACAAUGUUAAACCCUGUAAUAUUGGCAUUUCCAGGAGCGGCAAGCUCACUCACCACACCAGGUUGGUCCUCUAGUAAAACCGACCCAUCACACCCCUGAAAGAUUUUCAAACAAACAUAUUAUCAUAUAGUAAUAACUUUGCUAAUUAAUUAGUGUACUAGUACACAAUUAAUACGAAAAAUUUACAUUUACGAAGCAGUCGUGGAAAUGAAGUCGAAUGAGUCUGGCACCAGCACGUUCGUCAGAGACCAAAGCUUGUUGUACCACACGGCGCACAAUGUUGGAUACGUCGGGGCAUGAUUCGUCGUAAAACGUGGGGCAGAGCUGAGCUUGAGAAGCUCUAACCAU